rnacentral:rRNA from 1 species
UCCCAGUUCGGAUUGUAGUCUGCAACCCGGCUACAUGAAGCUGGAAUCGCUAGUAAUCGCGGAUCAGAAUGCCGCGGUGAAUACGUUCCCGGGUCUUGUACACACCGCCCGUCACACCAUGGGAGCCGGAAAUGCCCGAAGUCAGUGACCCAACCGCAAGGAGGGAGCUGCCGAAGGUGGAGCUGGUAACUGGGGUGAAGUCGUAACAAGGUAAC